UGCGGCAGUGUUGCAUGCCAGUUCGAGCCUGGAGUGUCCUUUGUGCUGGUCACCACAACAAUAGAGUGAGAGCGUGUGAUGUGCAUGGUUGUGGAGCUUUCAACUCUAAAAGGUGACGAUUUUUAUGCAUCAGCCUCAGAAAAUAAGUGGUGCUGCAACAUCAAAGCUUCACAGUGCAGAUUAGUUGAUAAGGCCGCAUUUCCAGUGUGGCAUUGUCAUGUCGGCCUUCAAAUGUGGCUGGAUGAAGGGACUGAAGCCUAACACAGCCUAACACCUAGCCCCACCUACCCUUAAAUACCUUCACACAGACUAAUUUAGGUGGACUAAACCAUCAGUGGGUGAGUUCACUUUACACAUAUACAUAUACACACUGCUUGGCCAACUUAAUAUUUACACAUUAUGCAAUUGGCUUCAUAAAUCCGCGGGCAAUAGCGAUAUACAAUAUGUGUAAAACCAGCUUCUUCUAAAAAACAGAUAUUACAGAAAAGACACACAAUACUCCCCUCAGCUUCUCAAACAUGGAACAGACAAGAACUAUAAGUUGCAACUGAUUCCAGAGCAGAAUCUUUUUUCUUGGAGAAGAGGAUGUAGGUGAGUAACACAGAGGUAAUGGCCUACAUAAAGCUGUGGACCUGGUGUGCGACGAUUAUGGUAUUGCCAACGCUCCAUUCUCAGGAACCCUGGCGGGUCCAGUGAGUCGGAAAGACCCAGCAGGGAAUCAGUAUGAGGGGCUCAGACUUCUCAGUGAUGGUAUGGAGGCCAAGAUGUUGUUACAGUACUUGAAAGUGAACGCGGCAAGGGAAUGAAAAUUCUGAGGAUUACUUUUUAAAAUGAUAGUAUCCAGUCUCUGAAAAUGUUAUAUCAACCAACAACGAAUCUAACGCCACAGUGGUGACUCUGUGAAGCUGCCACGCUCAUUGUAAAGAAAUCUUUGUUAGAUAAACCAUGAUGUUGGAUGAAUAGUCACCAAAGUUCAAAAAGACCGUGAAUGUCUGCAACCAUUUGCAUGGUAAUCCAUCCAACAGUUGUCAAGACAUUUCACUGAACUACAAGAAGAGGACAAGUCGAGGGUCAUCAGAAGCCGUAGGAUUUUAUCUGGGAACCAUGAAAGUUUUAUUAAAUCACUAAUCUUGUACUGUUCCCUCUACACGUAAUUCCUGUAAACUAUACUGUAUAAGGCCAUGGCUAGGUCAAAGGCCAUGUUAGUUUAUGUUGGAGGCCUUAGAUGGGGAUGUAAAGGAGUGAUUUAGAGGGAUUAGCAGAGGUGCUGGAGAGGGGGGCUGAGACUCCACUGAACUCCUGGUUGCUUCUAACACCAGGACCCAGCAUGUGAAACCCCUUCAAAAGCUGUUCAUGAGUAAUGACCCCCACUAAGGGACAUCAUUACAGAACAAAGCAAUGCAUCAGCGUUUAUGUGUCUGUCAGUGGAGCCUGCAAGAAGAGCGCACAGAUGCCUUUGUAAUGUAUAGUGUGUGUGUGUGUGUGUGUGUGUGUGUGUGUGUGUGUGUGUGUGUGUGUGUGUGUGUGUGUGUGUGUGUGUGUUUUGAGAGCAUCUUCAGUUGAUAAGGCACUGGAGUGGAGCGUAAACAUCAUUAGUCCUCAUUCUGCCUCUACUCCUAAUUGAACUGUAUUAUCAGAAGAACACAUGUACUGUCAGUCCCUUUUGAUCUCUGAGUAAAGCACAGCAUGAUUAGACAUCAGACACAUUACCUCGCCAUGAUACCCACAUUAAUGCUGAGACACUGAUCAUUAGGAGCUCAUAGGAUUUAAUGAUGGUGAUGCACUUGUAGACUAGCCUACUUUUGGGUUGUUUGCUUCUAAGUUGGCGGCUUGCUUGGUUUUUAUUUCUCUACAGAAUGGUGAAAGGAAAAUGUUAAGACUUUUUUUUUUUUUUAAGGGUCUUGAGCCUAUAUUGACCCAUUGGGAAUCAUCAAUGAGCAAUUAUAAGCCAGUUUUCGCCAUUUUUCAUUUGUUACGGGGCCUAUGUGCAUUUUCAUCACCAUGGCUGUGCAGUACAUUUGUACAGAUUGUAUACAGCACAUUAACUGGUAUAGGUCUAUAUAUAGCUUUUAAGAAGCAGUUCCCCGAGAUGAGGGUAGAGUUGCUGACUCCUUCUCUCCAACGGUCACUUUUUUUUUCCCUAUCACAAAAAUAUCAAUCUUCAAAAUUCUGAAGAGAGAAAAAAAAGUGUGCAAAUAAAAAAUAACUCUUCAACAGGUCUGUGCAGGAGAUAACGGAGCAUUAAUGUUCUCAAACUUUUUCUU